UACGUAGGGUGCAAGCGUUAAUCGGAAUUACUGGGCGUAAAGCGUGCGCAGGCGGUUUGCUAAGUGAGAUGUGAAAGCCCCGGGCUUAACCUGGGAACUGCGUUUCUAACUGGCAAGCUUGAGUGUGGCAGAGGGGGGUGGAAUUCCACGUGUAGCAGUGAAAUGCGUAGAUAUGUGGAGGAACACCGAUGGCGAAGGCAGCCCCCUGGGUCAAGACUGACGCUCAUGCACGAAAGCGUGGGGAGCAAACAGG
rnacentral:rRNA from 1 species